rnacentral:rRNA from 2 species
UGGGGAAUAUUGCACAAUGGAGGGAACUCUGAUGCAGCGACGCCGCGUGAACGAAGAAGGCUUUCGAGUCGUAAAGUUCUUUUAUAUGGGAAGAUAAUGACGGUACCAUAAGAAAAAGCCCCGGCUAACUACGUGCCAGCAGCCGCGGUAAUACGUAGGGGGCUAGCGUUGUGCGGAAUCACUGGGCGUAAAGGGUUCGCAGGCGGAAAUGCAAGUCAGGUGUAAAAGGCAGUAGCUUAACUACUGUAAGCAUUUGAAACUGCAUAUCUUGAGAAGAGUAGAGGUAAGUGGAAUUUUUAGUGUAGCGGUGAAAUGCGUAGAUAUUAAAAAGAAUACCGGUGGCGAAGGCGACUUACUGGGCUCAUUCUGACGCUGAGGAACGAAAGCGUGGGUAGCAAACAGG